rnacentral:rRNA from 1 species
ACGAACGCUGGCGGCGUGCUUAACACAUGCAAGUCGAACGGAAAGGCCCUGCUUUUGUGGGGUGCUCGAGUGGCGAACGGGUGAGUAACACGUGAGUAACCUGCCCUUGACUUUGGGAUAACUUCAGGAAACUGGGGCUAAUACCGGAUAGGAGCUCCUGCUGCAUGGUGGGGGUUGGAAAGUUUCGGCGGUUGGGGAUGGACUCGCGGCUUAUCAGCUUGUUGGUGGGGUAGUGGCUUACCAAGGCUUUGACGGGUAGCCGGCCUGAGAGGGUGACCGGCCACAUUGGGACUGAGAUACGGCCCAGACCCCUACGGGAGGCAGCAGUGGGGAAUAUUGCACAAUGGGCGGAAGCCUGAUGCAGCAACGCCGCGUGCGGGAUGACGGCCUUCGGGUUGUAAACCGCUUUCGCCUGUGACGAAGCGUGAGUGACGGUAAUGGGUAAAGAAGCACCGGCUAACUACGUGCCAGCAGCCGCGGUGAUACGUAGGGUGCGAGCGUUGUCCGGAUUUAUUGGGCGUAAAGGGCUCGUAGGUGGUUGAUCGCGUCGGAAGUGUAAUCUUGGGGCUUAACCCUGAGCGUGCUUUCGAUACGGGUUGACUUGAGGAAGGUAGGGGAGAAUGGAAUUCCUGGUGGAGCGGUGGAAUGCGCAGAUAUCAGGAGGAACACCAGUGGCGAAGGCGGUUCUCUGGGCCUUUCCUGACGCUGAGGAGCGAAAGCGUGGGGAGCGAACAGGCUUAGAUACCCUGGUAGUCCACGCUGUAAACGGUGGGUACUAGGUGUGGGGUCCAUUCCACGGGUUCCGUGCCGUAGCUAACGCUUUAAGUACCCCGCCUGGGGAGUACGGCCGCAAGGCUAAAACUCAAAGGAAUUGACGGGGCCCCGCACAAGCGGCGGAGCAUGCGGAUUAAUUCGAUGCAACGCGUAGAACCUUACCUGGGUUUGACAUGGAUCGGGAGUGCUCAGAGAUGGGUGUGCCUCUUUUGGGGUCGGUUCACAGGUGGUGCAUGGCUGUCGUCAGCUCGUGUCGUGAGAUGUUGGGUUAAGUCCCGCAACGAGCGCAACCCUUGUUCACUGUUGCCAGCACGUUAUGGUGGGGACUCAGUGGAGACCGCCGGGGUCAACUCGGAGGAAGGUGGGGAUGACGUCAAGUCAUCAUGCCCCUUAUGUCCAGGGCUUCACGCAUGCUACAAUGGCUGGUACAGAGAGUGGCGAGCCUGUGAGGGUGAGCGAAUCUCGGAAAGCCGGUCUCAGUUCGGAUUGGGGUCUGCAACUCGACCUCAUGAAGUCGGAGUCGCUAGUAAUCGCAGAUCAGCAACGCUGCGGUGAAUACGUUCCCGGGGCUUGUACACACCGCCCGUCAAGUCAUGAAAGUUGGUAACACCCGAAGCCGGUGGCCUAACCGUUGUGGGGGAGCCGUCGAAGGUG